GAUGAACGCUGGCGGCGUGCCUAAUACAUGCAAGUCGAGCGAACGGGCGAGAAGCUUGCUUCUCUGAUGUUAGCGGCGGACGGGUGAGGAACACGUGGAUAACCUACCUAUAAGACUGGGAUAACUUCGGGAAACCGGAGCUAAUACCGGAUGAUAUUUUGAACCGCAUGGUUCAAAAGUGAAAGACGGUCUUGCGGUCACUUAUAGAUGUAUCCGCGCUGCAUUAGCUAGUUGGUAAGGUAACGGCUUACCAAGGCAACGAUGCAUAGCCGACCUGAGAGGGUGAUCGGCCACACUGGAACUGAGACACGGUCCAGACUCCUACGGGAGGCAGCAGUAGGGAAUCUUCCGCAAUGGGCGAAAGCCUGACGGAGCAACGCCGCGUGAGUGAUGAAGGUCUUCGGAUCGUAAAGCUCUGUUAUUAGGGAAGAACAUAUGUGUAAGUAACCGUGCACAUCUUGACGGUACCUAAUCAGAAAGCCCCGGCUAACUACGUG
rnacentral:rRNA from 1 species